rnacentral:rRNA from 1 species
AGUGAACGCUGGCGGUAGGCCUAAUACAUGCAAGUCGAACGGCAGCACAUUACGGGCUUGCUCUUACGGGUGGCGAGGGGAGGCCGGGUGAGGAAUACAUCGGAACAUACUUUUUCGCGGGGGCUAACGUUGGGAAACUAACGCUAAUAACGCAUAAGUACUGCGGGUGAAAGCAGGGAGCAUUCGGACCUUGUGAGAUGCAGUGUGCGGAUGUCGGAUUAGCUAGUUGGCGGGGUAAAGGCCCACCAAGGCGACGAACCGUAGCUGGUCUGAGAGGAUGAUCAGCCACAUUGGAACUGAGACACGGUCCAGACUCCUACGGGAGGCAGCAGUGGGGAAUAUUGGACAAUGGGCGCAAGCCUGAUCCAGCCAUACCGCGUGAGUGAAGAAGGCCUUCGGGUUGUAAAGCCCUUUUGUUGGGAAAGAAAAGCAGCAGGUUAAUACCCCGCUGUUCUGACGGUACCCAAAGAGUAAGCACCGGCUAACUUCGUG